CUCGUGUAAAGAGAGUGCCACGCUCUCUGCACGUUAAGAAGCCUCGCAACAAGUUAUUGAGGUGUCCUGUUGCAAGGCAACAUUUCUGUCCCUAUCCAAUAUACCCUCUGGCAGUCCAAAUUUUUCCAACCUUUUUUUCCGGAUGUCCUUUAUUUCUAGACCUACAUAUUGUAUUUUUGUUCACUUGUUCUCGUCUUUAAUGUGCAUAAAAU
rnacentral:lncRNA from 1 species